AGCAGAUGGUGCAGUGGUUAACGCUUGUGUCUUGUACUUAAAGGAUGUGGGGUUGAAUCCCACCUCCUGCUG
rnacentral:tRNA from 1 species